UCGGGAAUUUUGGGCAAUGGGGGAAACCCUGACCCAGCAACGCCGCGUGAAGGAUGAAGUAUUUCGGUAUGUAAACUUCGAAAGAAUAGGAAGAAUAAAUGACGGUACUAUUUAUAAGGUCCGGCUAACUACGUGCCAGCAGCCGCGGUAAUACGUAGGGACCAAGCGUUGUUCGGAUUUACUGGGCGUAAAGGGCGCGUAGGCGGCAUGACAAGUCACUUGUGAAAUCUCUGGGCUUAACCCAGAACGGCCAAGUGAUACUGUCGCGCUAGAGUGCAGAAGGGGCAAUCGGAAUUCUUGGUGUAGCGGUGAAAUGCGUAGAUAUCAAGAGGAACACCUGAGGUGAAGACGGGUUGCUGGGCUGACACUGACGCUGAGGCGCGAAAGCCAGGGGAGCAAACGGGAUUAGAUACCCAUGUAGUCCCUGAGCGGGCUGGCAAGGCGCAU
rnacentral:rRNA from 1 species